GGAAGCUUUGCUCUGGGACGAACUGCAGCAGCUCAGCUCGGAUUGCUGAGAAGAGACGAUGGUGAUCUGUUCUUGUCCCGCCAAUCUCUGACAAACCCUCAGAGGCUCUGGGAUGGAAAAACUGAUCUGGCCUGAGGCAGUGAGGUGUCCUGGAUUGCCACGCCUGGAGAGGAAUUGUUGUGUGUGACCAGAAUGGGAGAGCAGCAGCUCACACUGUGUGUGGAGUUUGGAGUUCUACACUAAAGAACUGCAGGAGUACAAAUAAAUGAGAAAUAUAAAAGCUAAAA